rnacentral:rRNA from 1 species
UACGUAGGGGGCAAGCGUUGUCCGGAUUUAUUGGGCGUAAAGAGCGUGUAGGCGGCUAGAUAGGUCCGUUGUGAAAACUCGAGGCUCAACCUCGAGACGUCGAUGGAAACCAUCUGGCUAGAGUCCGGAAGAGGAGAGUGGAAUUCCUGGUGUAGCGGGGAAAUGCGCAGAUAUCAGGAAGAACACCCGUGGCGAAGGCGGCUCUCUGGUACGUGACUGACGCUGAGACGCGAAAGCGUGGGGAGCAAACAGG